rnacentral:lncRNA from 1 species
CACUUCCACCCCUCAGUAGAUGGUUUGGGAUCUUUACUGUUGGAAGGAAUAACCAUGCUGUGGAGGUCAUUGAUUCACUGAAAUACUGAAGAUGAAAACUUGUAUUCUUUAGGCUCCUGUCCAUCCGGAAACGGGGGCCCGAGAGUUCUGGAGGGAAACAAUACCAAUCUAGCUGCCUGCACAAGGAUGUGAUGAGAAUGGAUGAAAUAAUGUUCCUACAUUACUUUAAGAUGGGUACUCUCCUACUGAUUCUUAUGUCAUCAUUUAAUGCAAAUACAAUGGCUGUCCAUACUCCUGGCAUCAGUCAAACACUACAGUGGAGAAGAUAUAACCUGAAAUAACUCCAUUCUGCAAUCAAGACUUUUAUCUGUGACAUGGCACUGCAAGGUGGUUCUACAAUGGAAUAAAACUCUAAAAGCAUAAGCUUGGGUUUUCCA